rnacentral:lncRNA from 1 species
AUCUCACGCGUGCUCACAUCGCAGACGUGUUCGACAAAGCUAUUGUCCCACAUGAAAAAGUCGUACACCUUUCCUUCGCCAGCCGUUGCCAGUUGUAUUAAAGCGUCACGCUACCACUGGGCGACCAACCGAGCAAAGUCAACUAUUAGGGCGCACAUCGUUCGAGCCGCCCACGCAUUCUACAAGAAUGGCAGUCGAUGUCCUGGAAGAGCUGCUGUUUCACAUCGAGCGAUUGACAGUGCAGGAUAUUCGAUGCCUGGUCGAGGUUCAAGACGUCGACUGGUUCUCGCGGCUCAGAACCCUGCAGCGGGAAGUGGCCGUCCAGGAAGUACGGCGCAUUCUUCAAGAAUCUCCCAGCGUCCCAGUGUUCCAUGAGCGUGUCCUCUGGCUCCACUGCUGGCUCAUGUCGAGGCAGAAGAUUGGUCCGUGGUUCCUCUUCCGCUUGGGCGCUUCCGCGCUGCAGGCUGACUUAAGCAUGCUUCUGAAGAACAUGGCGAGAGCAAUGCUAUCCCUUGAUCGGCCCGUCCUGUUCGGUGUUAAGCAAAACGGUGGAACUUACUAUGGCUGCAUAAUUAUCAACUGCUCCGAUCAAACCACACGAAUAUGGGAACCGGUGUUCGUGGUCCUUUGGCUGCGGCCAGCGCUUCGCGGCUGCGUACGUAGGAACGAAUGAGCAACAGCGAAUCCUAAUGACAUGCCUGCACAUCGCCCUGGGCGGAGAAAGCGUGGAAAUGCUACAAGGACUCCACGCUGACUUGAACGCCGCGUUUCGUGCUGGUUGCCUGAACUUAGGCCGUCCUACGUUACUUCGACUGGAUAGGGAUCGCACUGUCGCCGCGCGGUUUUUCCCGAAUGGCGACCCGCGAGAGCAAACGGAAGAGCAGUUUGGACAGGCGCAAAGAAGGCGGAGCCCCUUGAGAGCAAGAACAAGUACGCAGGUCCAAGCUUCUGAUCCGCUGUAGGAAGCCAUUGACAACACGCACGAACGCUGUGCCUCCCGCGUUAUUCCUACAAGAGCGCAUGCCCCGAGUAAAUACAUCUAGACAUUUCAUGCGCCGGG